CAGACUGCUGACCCCUCCUCAUAUCGAAAGUUAGCUCCAUUCUGAGUAGGGGCAUAACUUCAAAUGGACUCCUCACGGUGUGAAACAUCCAUUCCAUGAUUCAGCCGUUGUCAAUAAUCACUUCAGCAGCCCUUUCCGGUCCCUUUGAAGAAUGCCAUCUUUGUCUUCUAGAAGCUCACAGUCUAUCUGCUGCAGUUCAGAAGCGGGGGACCUGAGGCGUGUAGCCGGGGGAGCCUCAGGCUGCUUGCCCGUCCUCACAGGAAACAGCGGAACUGUUACACCGGGUGGCUCACAGGGUAAGAAGCUCGAGUAGGUAAAGGACUGAGGUUUCUGGGAGUGAUUUCCAGAAGAUAAACAAGAAUUCAGUGACGGACUUCCUGAGAGUGGCUAGAAGGGGAGCCAGGCGCAGCGGGAUAAGAGAUGGAGAGAAGACAAAGCCUUUAAAAGGGUUGUUCUAAUGUGGUCUAUGGGAGAGAAAGCUUCCCGCGGGAAAGGCAGGGCUAUGAGUGGCAGCACAGAGCGGUGAUGUAAGCACAGGGACUGUGCCUCCUUGUGGUCCCUUCUUGGCCUUCACCCUUCCGUAUCCAACCAAGCACGAAGUGGAGAGAGCAAUGGUUCUGUCCGGUGCUUGGAUGACUGAACUGAGGUGGGGCCUGAUUGGAGGACGACCUAACUAGGUCUCCUUGACUGAUGAGUCUGGAACAAUCAAGCUCCUUCUUGUAGGAACUGUGAACCAAAAGCUACAAAUAAGGUAUUCUCCGUGGGUCCUUGAAUUGAGAAAUCAGGUUGAUGGCAAUGGAGUGGCUAAUACUGGGUUGUGCCCGUGCCUAGGCCACAAGGACCUCAGGGAGUAGCUGGCAAAGAGAACAUCUGAACAGCUCUAAGCUGAACCCGGCGGCAACACACGCCUGGAAUUUCAGUAUUAGCAAGGCUGACACAGGAGGAUGGCAAGUUCCAGACCCGCCUGGGAUGCACAGGGAAGCCUGUUGCAGAAGAGACAUGGAUGCAAUGUCAGAGGUCAGAACCCGUGAAUCAGAGGUAACAGCAGCCCUCAGCAUCUAUCAAAAGCUAGACUCCGCAUUUAAAAAUGACUCCUUUGCUUCUCAUAAUUAGGAGAUAAGAACUAUGAGACCUCCCUACAGAUUCAAAGUCAAAAGCUAGCUCCUCAGUUCUCAGGCAAUUCUAGCAAGGCAGAGGUGGCCCCUGAAGCCACCUGGCAUGUAUUGCCUCCCAAACUCAGACGCUCAGGCUUAUUGGGCUUUUCCUUAUCAUUUGACCUUAUUAGGGUCACCCGCUGGCCAAAUGAGAGGAGGAGCUGGAGGCUUGAGCUUUCCAGAUGGGACACACAAAGGUAUUAAAAGAAGGAUUUUGUAGUUCUCCAGUGGUGGGGCACUUAUCUAACACAUGAGAACUAGCUUACCCUAAUAAUGUCCCCUCACCUUGGGACUGUUGGUUUUAUGACUAACUUCUACUACAAAGGCAUGUGGGAUUUCUCUUCUCCCAAGCUAGUUUCAUCUGCUUUAAUUUUACCCACGGAAACACUCAUUUCACCACACAGUAACUAUCUAACCAAACUAAGUGGGCGGCCGCGGAGGGGGUAACACAUUGUCUAGUGGCAGUGCUUUUCCAGUUGGCUGGACCACUAAGAGGCAGGGUGAGUCUGAGUAUGCUGUACCUUUCUGAGCCUUGGUUUCUCUGCCAAUAAAGUGAGGGUGAUAAUAAAAGACAGACGUGAAAUACAGACCAAUGCAAUAGGGCACUCCCUGGGUCAGCCAGACUUGUGCCUUGAAUCGGGUUUCCCAAAAACCUAUCUGGAUACAGUCUCUAAACGGAGGCUUGAACGCAGGACUAUGUCAGAGAAGACGCAAAGGUGAGUAGCCGUGAAGCGGAGGGGCAGCCCCGGCGAGCAGAAGGAGAAGGUACAACAGAGAUUUCAGCUGGAGAGCUGGCCCCCAUUCUUCUGAUUCCCUGGAGGGAGGCACCAGGGAAGGCAGCACAUGCUGAAAGACAGGUGGGAGCACCAAUUACAAGAGCCAUAGAGGGCUGGGGGUGGGGCAAGUAGGGGCCCUGGGCUUUGAGGAAGGCGGGGACACUGAGAGGAACCUAGAGAUCUGCGAAGCUUGUUCUGUGCUGCUCUGAUCCUGUUCUAUCCUCGCCUCAAAUCAAAAUGAAAGUGGGUGGCCGUGAAAACGCUUCGUGCGGCUGGGUGUGCGUGUAGAGAUCCUAAAGCACGGGGUUUGUAGCUGCUCUGCAGGCAGGAAGGGUGAGGAAUGUGACCAGGUGUUAGACAGAACCUGAGGCUAGAGAAGUAAGGAAACUGCAGAGAGGCCACAGAAGGAGAACUCAGCUCCCUCUCAUGGCAUGGAUCUCGGGCAAUUCAAAUUUUUAAUGCUCAAUCUUAACAGGGAUAAAACUGUAAAACCCUGAUCUUAUAAAAAGCUACCAACUUGUAACUAUUGAAGAUAAUUAAGAUGGGAAAGUUAAUGGUCACAUUAUAAAUAAUCAAAUUCUCUAACGUGCUUAGAACCAUGCUUGUAGUCAUGCUAAGUACAAAUGUAGUACAUUUACAGGGACAACCUUUAGUCUUCCACAGUUGUCAAGGUUGAGCCUGAAGCUAGUAACUAAAAACAAGUAAAGUUUGUUUAAAAUCCUGUAUACUUACUAUACUAGAUGAUGGCCCUCAAACGCCCAGAGAUCUGCUGAAUAUGGCAUGAGAGGUGUCUAAAGAAAAAGGCUUCCCAUGAGAAACAAAAAUGCCAGCUUCUGGUGGCAGCUGAGGCUCCCUCCAAACAUGGGUGACUGCAGACUCCACUAGGAUUGUGGUAAGGCUGACCAAGGUCCAAGAACUGCGUGUGCCUCAACCACUGCCAAACUGUGGAUACUGUUUAGGUGACUGCCCUACUCUGCUUCUCUAAGGUAGGUCAGUUCCUACUCCAGAAAAACCUCUCAGGCAUCAUGGGUCUGGUGGCCAAAGGUUGAUGCUGCCCAUUGUAGCAGCUGAAGAUUUAGUGCUGUCCUGUAUGACAGCCAAAGACUGACAACUUCUGCCCCAACAAAGUCAUCAGUAUCACCAUGUAGGAUCCCGGGCUGGCUGUGUAGAAUUUGGGGAAAUGGAGUUGCCUUUGCACCUGACGCUGGCUCUUAAGUAGACUUUAAUUAAAUGCGUGAAUUCAAGAAUUCAAGCAAUAAUUUACAGGACUCCUGUGAGAUAUCAAACAUGCUCAUUCCGAGAAGACACUAGAAGUAAAGGCAACAUGGACAACAGCCUCGAGACCUGGUGUGGAGAAUACAAUCUCACACGUCUACCCCACAGCAGGAAGCACCCAGAGACAGAGAGCACACGAAAGCCAGGAGUUCAGCCAAAGAGAGGGAGGAGGAGUUAUGUGAGCAAGGUGGUCAAGGCCAUGACAGGGAAACCCACAAAGACAGCUGACAUGAGCUCCUGAGAACUCGUGAACUCUAGACCAACCAGCUAAGGAGCCUGCACAUUUUAACAGGAAUAAAUGAAUGACUCAGAGACUGACAUUGAGGUUCAAACUUCAAGCUGAAUAUCAGAAAAGCAAAGCAUCUGGCUACUAGCUUCUUACCUCUACCUCAGGCCAAAAGGGCUGAUCCUGUCUCCAUGAGCUCUCACCAUGCCUCCGACUGUAACCUCUCCUUUGCACAUGCAUGGUGCCUAACUAGGCCCUCUGCUUGUGGGAAACGGUUGUGAAGCUUGGUCUGUCUGUGAGACCCCUGGCAGUGGGAUCAGGAUCUGAACCGAUGACUGAGCUGACUUUUUGGAGUCCAUUCUCUGUGGCGGGAUGCUGCACUCAGCCUGGAUGCAGGGGGAAGGGGCUUCUUCCUGCCUCAGCUGAAUGUGCCAGGCUUUGUAGACUCCCCAUGAGCUUUACCCUUUCUGAGGAGUGGAUGG